UAUAUUUUUCACAACUCGCACAAAUCUCAUUGGAAGAGUUAUAUCGCUCGGGUCACCAUUGGAUGACGAAUCCACGGAUGAAGAGUUAAAUUGUCCGGCACAUCUGUAUGGCCUGUAACGAGCCAUCUUGAACGA